ACCCUAAAAAAUUCCGAAAAAAUUGAGAAAAAUAAGAAACAAGGCACCCACAAAAAAAUCGAACGGGCGUAAUGCGAAGGAGAAAAAAUGGAAGAAGAACAAGAAAGAGAGGGGUUCCAGAACUAACCUAGACUGGUCCGAGAGAUGCAGGAAGGCAGCAAGGGUGAUGGGGGUCGACCCAUGGAGUGCCUAAAAUCGAGAGGGACAAGCUGGGGGAAGACGAGGCUCUCGGGGA
rnacentral:lncRNA from 1 species